UACACUCCUACGGGAGGCAGCAGUGGGGAAUAUUGGACAAUGGGCGCAAGCCUGAUCCAGCCAUGCCGCGUGAGUGAUGAAGGCCCUAGGGUUGUAAAGCUCUUUCACCGGUGAAGAUAAUGACGGUAACCGGAGAAGAAGCCCCGGCUAACUUCGUGCCAGCAGCCGCGGUAAUACGAAGGGGGCUAGCGUUGUUCGGAUUUACUGGGCGUAAAGCGCACGUAGGCGGACUAUUAAGUCAGGGGUGAAAUCCCGGGGCUCAACCCCGGAACUGCCUUUGAUACUGGUAGUCUUGAGUUCGAGAGAGGUGAGUGGAAUUCCGAGUGUAGAGGUGAAAUUCGUAGAUAUUCGGAGGAACACCAGUGGCGAAGGCGGCUCACUGGCUCGAUACAGAUGCUGAGGUGCGAAAGCGUGGGGAGCAAACAGGAUUAGAAACCCCAGUAGUCC
rnacentral:rRNA from 1 species